rnacentral:misc_RNA from 1 species
AGAGAGAGAGAGAGAGAGAGACUAUUUAAGAUUUCUCAAUUAUAAGAUUCUGCAGAGAUAGCCACAAAUGUCUUGAAACAGCAACGAAGCAUAAAAAAAGUAAAAAAUCUCCAGCUAUGGAUCUCUUCAAUUAAAGUAAUUCAAUGCGCCACCAAUCUCUACAGACAAAAGGCAGUGCAGAACGCCAAAGACGGCUAGCCCUCAAAAGCAGGAAAAGAGAUAAGCAAACCAAGAAAUACGCAAAAACAAACCAAUAUAUUUAUACAUAUAUAGAGACCACUGCUGCUGCUACUGCUGCCAACAUUAAUAUCCAGUAGUGUUUAUAUAUAUAUAUAUACAUAUAUCUGCUUUAUAAUUCCUCUCUCUCCCUGCUCUCUUCUUUCCAAAGUGGUAGUUGAAAGGGAGAGACCAAACCCAAGUCCCCUGAAUUCCACUUCCGAUUCGAUUCCCU